rnacentral:rRNA from 1 species
UACAGAGGUGGCAAGCGUUAAUCGGAAUUACUGGGCGUAAAGCGUGCGCAGGCGGUUCGGAAAGAAAGAUGUGAAAUCCCAGGGCUCAACCUUGGAACUGCAUUUUUAACUACCGGACUAGAGUAUGUCAGAGGGAGGUGGAAUUCCACGUGUAGCAGUGAAAUGCGUAGAUAUGUGGAGGAACACCGAUGGCGAAGGCAGCCUCCUGGGAUAAUACUGACGCUCAUGCACGAAAGCGUGGGGAGCAAACAGG